rnacentral:rRNA from 1 species
CCUACGGGAGGCAGCAGUGGGGAAUAUUGGGCAAUGGGCGCAAGCCUGACCCAGCAACGCCGCGUGAAGGAAGAAGGCCCUCGGGUUGUAAACCUUUUUUAUUAGGGACGAAGAAGUGACGGUACCUGAUGAAUAAGCCACGGCUAACUACGUGCCAGCAGCCGCGGUAAUACGUAGGUGGCGAGCGUUAUCCGGAUUUACUGGGUGUAAAGGGCGUGUAGGCGGGGAAGCAAGUCAGAUGUGAAAUUCCAGGGCUCAACCCUGGAACUGCAAUUGAUACUGGUUGUAUUGAGUGAAGGAGAGGCAGGCGGAAUUCCGUGUGUAGCGGUGAAAUGCGUAGAUAUACGGAAGAACACCGGUGGCGAAGGCGGCCUGCUAGACAUUAACUGACGCUGAGGCGCGAAAGCGUGGGGAGCAAACAGGAUUAGAUACCCGGGUAGUC